GCAUUAAAAAGGUUGAAAACCACUGGGCUAGGGAAUUCUGGGAGUUGAAGUCCACAUCUUAAAGUUGCUAAGGGUGAGCAAUUCAGAGCUAUUACCAAUUCCUUACAAAAUCUUGUCCUUGGCUGGGGGGAAGAGAAAUGUUGCUGUGUUUUUUUUUUUUUAUAGUUCAGCUAUGAGUCAGCGGAACAUCCUGAUUUUGUUGGCUGAACUAAAACUUGAAAUGUUCCCCCCCCCCAGGUUUUUCUGCAAUUCUGCAAUAAAUGUAUUGUUUAGAAUAUUACCCUUCAUGGGCUUUGUCUGAGGUUCUCUGGAGACAACAGACGAAAACAACAGAAUUGGAAGGAAGAAUGGUUAGAAGCAUGUGAAGGUAGACAAAUGCUUUUGGAUAACCUGUGCCCUUCUCAAUAUCCCUAACCCAUAUAGGUUCUGCUGAUUUGAGCUGGAAUCCAACACUAUGUGGAGGACUAAAGUUCUUCACCACUCUCCAUUCAUCAUCCUUCAUAUUUAUGCCUGUUUGCUGGGAUUUCCUUCUGAGUAAACUUGUUAGAAUGAUGUUAUGAUGCUUAAACUCAGGCUGUUGCUGACUGGUGAAAUUCCCAUAUGAUGUCAAGGGGAGGCAAGCUUUGGAGAUACUGAAAUAAUAUUUGUCGUUUUUUGCCCCCAAAUAUCGGAUAAUCAAGAAAGCAAUGUCUUGGCUGAAGCAAACCAGAAUUAUUAAUCAUGACCUUAACUGAAAUUUCCCUCAGUUUUUGCUGACACUGUCUUUCCCCAAAGACAUGGGCACAUUUUGGAUAUUGCAAAGUUUGGGCUGUAACGUUUUUUUCCCCUUGGGUGCUAGAUUUUCAACUUUUCUAAUUUGGAGAGGGCCACGACAGGCAAGUGUAGAUAUUACAUCAAUAUCCUCUGCUAUGUUUUGUGCGCUGUAAAUACAGGUCUGCUUGACACUCCUAGGGGGAUUUCAGUCCUUCCCAUUUCCAGGCAAUUAUGAUAUGUAAUAGAAUUAGAUUAAAGUUAAUAUAAUGGCUAGCAUAAAUUACACAGAGGGGUGGUUACAGGCUACUGUACGUAUCCAGUGAGAAACGGGUCACGAAGAGAUGGUUCCUUUUGAGUGUUUAGAAUAUCCCAGACCUUUGAUACUUUAUGAAACUCAUUUGUUGUGAUCUGCUGCUAGCUCUUAUCCGUCUUUAGGAAUACUUGGAAAUAUAACAUGUUGUUUAUAUCUCAAACAUUGUAUAGCAGAACAACAUGAGGUAUGGUCAUAGCAAACAGGCCAUUGUAGCAAAUUAAAUGAUUUCACAGAAAAUGUAUGUUUGCUUUGCAUAUGUGGCUUAGGCCUGAGAGUAUUUAUACAUAAAUAUCAGAAAGCAGGAACAUAAAUCUCAAAGAUUUAUGAAACUGAUUGUACCAAUAAAGGAGAAUAUUUGUAGCUCAGGGUUGAAAUGAGGGAUCUUUGGUGUUCUCUGAGCUUGAUCAUUUUCCUGCAGACAUUUUAUUACCAAACUAGGUAACAUCAUUACUAUAGUGCUAGUAAGGAGUAAUAUAAGCUGAAACAAACCCCACUCUUUACUAGCACUAAUGAUAUUACCUAGUUGGGGUAGUGAAAUGUCUGUAAGAAAACAAUCAAACCCAGAGAAUACCAAGGACCCCUAAAUUGAUUGUUAAUGAGAGGGGGGAGAGGGAGAGAGAGAGGGGGAGGGAGACAAGAGAGAGAAUAUUAAGGAGAGAUACAAAGGGAUGAGAGAUUGUCAGUUCUGGAUGGACCACUAUUGGGUAGGUGACAAAAAUGUAUUGGAAGAGAAGGAUGAAGGAAAUGUAAUGAGAAUAAAAGUAGAAUGAAAGCAGGACAAGAAAGCACAACUCUUGUUCUGUUGAGGGUCCUCCAUCUCAUGACAGAAUUAAUGAAAAUGGACUCAGGGAAAGAGGAUAUGGGAAUUAGAACAGUGAAAAGAUUUGUGUGAUACAAGUGUGUAUGUGGAGUUUUGUAAAAAAAAAAAGCUGCUUAUUGAAAUGAUGCAUCAGAAGAGGCUUUUGAUGAUGAAAAACCGCAUACAAGACAUGGGUGCUAAUGAAGGGAAAUAAAGAUUUUGCAAAAUAUCUAUGAAGAAUGAGUUGCAAAUAAUGUAGUUGAUUAGCACAAACAUAUUUUGGAAAUGAGUAAAAAGGACUACAGAAGGAGCCCAAAGAGAGUUAAUGGAAUUAAAAAUAAGAGCAAUCAGAUGUUUUGGGAUGAAAUUGAAGUGAUGGAAGGAGUACCGUAUUUCAAAAAUUUGUAUAGGAAUGAUAAAAAUUGCAGAAAUACUAAAAUAUAUGUGGCUUGUGCAACUGGCUGUGCAACUCAUUUAACAGAAGUGAAAGUUGUUUCUGCACCUGAUGAAAAAUGCCUUUUUUCCAUGUUACCAGUUCUCAAUUUUUACAAUACAAUCAAUUCUCUGCAAUAAUAAAAUGAAUUUUUACAACCUAUCUGUGAAUAAAAUUAAUGAUUUCACUGAGUAGAGUGUUUAGGCCAUAAAUAAACGCACUAUUUACGUUAAUAAUUAAAUGUAAAUUUAUAUAUCAUGUAAAAGAAUCUUACAACUUCAGCCUUACAACUUCAUAAACCUCAUUGGAAAUAAGCAAUCGAAAAAUCCUUGAAAAAAUUUAAAUAAAUAUUUUAAUGGUAAGGGGGAAGUUACUUUUGCAAUUUCCUGAAAUCUAGCCAUCAUUUUCAAGACACACCCUAUCAUUUUAUAAAAGCAAUGGGAAAAAAAAGAAAAUAAAAAGGUGUUUCUUUGAUACAGAUUAAAUGUUCUUCAACUACUCUUAAAUUAGUUGCAGUUUGCAAAAAAAUGGCAGGUUGUAAAUUAGUCGUGGCACCCUUUCUUCCAGCACCACACAUUCACUACACUCUUUGUAAGCAAUUUAUUUACAGAGGAAGCAUCAGAUCAAAUGGUCAGAGCUUUGAAAGGAUCCAGAUAAGUAUCCUUUCUGAAAAGUAAAUUCCAGAGUGCUAAUUUUCCCACAAAGACUACUCAAACUUUAUGAGGGAUCUGGAACUUUCCGAGCAUUCCUUUCCACAAAACAUACUUUGCACUGAACUGGUUAAGCUACUUGAAAAACAGUGUGAGAGAGACACUUUUGGGCAACUCUCCACCCAUUGGCUUGUGACACACACCACUUCGUGGUUAUGACUCACAUUGUACUAUACUAAGGGAAGGGGUGCAAGGGUAAAAGCAAAAACUGUAAGGAGAUGUAGAUUUAUCUAAGAAAGUGUUUGGCAGAAUUCUGAUUGAAAAGGUGCAAAAGAUAGUAAGCAAAAUUUGUGAAGGGUAGUUUAUGUUGGGCAGACCAACGUUCUCUUUGGCAAGUUAUUGAGGAAUGUACAAAUGUGAAAAAGAAUAUUUAUUGUAUAUUAACCGAUUCAAAAAAAAUACUGGUAUAUAAUAAAGUGAACAGGCUUUAAAUGAAUCGUAUCUUUCAUUUCUUAGGCCUAUCACUUUCUACUUUUUCUGCACUACUUUUUCUUUUCUGUGUAAAACUACUUCUAGCCUGAAUAGUGUGGUGGGUAUGUAUGCAUGUUCAUAUCAAUGUUUCUAAGUUUUUUCUUUAGUAUUGCCAGGUAUUAAGGAAACUCUUUAUUUUAUUUGGCUUCCUUUCAGUUUCUAUUUUUAUUUUAGGUUUAACCCUUUUGAUAUCUUCUCUCUUUAAUAUCACAAGAAAUACAAUUUAUUUAAAAAGUUGACCCUCCCAAGACAAUAGAAAACUCAGAAGAUCCCUGUCUGGAAUUUAUAAUAAAAAGCUGGAAAGCAAAAGGUACUUUGUAACUUUAGUGUUUUUUUUUUCAGUUAUUUGUUAUUUCCAAUUAUUUAUUAUUAGUUAUUCAAAAAGUAAAAUCCUUCUUUCUUAUUCUGGAACAAUUAUAAUUGUAAUUAUAACUGGUUAUGUUGAAUUUCUUUUCCUUUUCUUUCUAAAUUUAUCAACUUUGCACUCAUAAGCUACUUUUUGUCUUUUUACUAGCAUGCAGUAUUUCUUAUAGGAAAAUUCCUGCCUGGGUGUUUUCAAUCCUCCUUCUACUUCUUACUGACAUCUUUUAUUCCUUUUUUUAUUUCAGUGUUGACUUUUAAAGACAAUAUACCAGACCAUGUGCUCUGGCAGAUGUGGACUCUUUUUUUCAUCUAAUGAUCAGGUCUAGCGGGCUGUGGCCCCAUCUGUCCAGCUGAUCAAAUCGAGCCCCCCAGUGGUGCAGGAUCAUUAAGGUGUCCAGGAAUCCCUCCUGGGCCAGGUCAUGGGCUGGCGUUGCACCUGUGGAGGGGUCUGGCCGGUUGGGAUCUGCUCCUCUCUGCAGCAGCAGCUCUGCCAUUCUGGCGCUUCCCAUCAUCAUAACCUGGAGGAGAGAAAAAAAAGUCACACUGCAAUUUGUCCAAAUGGAAUGUCAGAACAGAAAUUGACCCUCUGCCUAGAUUAAGUUCAUGGGAGGUCUUCAAAUUGCAGAAGGAAGCCUUGACUUCAUAUCCACAUCACAGGUGUUCCAGCAUCCUGAAUGGAAUGCAUUUCCCCACUGGCUAAUGAUGUGCUAAUGGGACAACAACUAAGUCAGAAGAGAAAACCAGUCAGCAUGCCUAUCACCUCUAAGGACCUGCAAAUCUGGCAAUGGGUAUUACAUCAGAGAAUUUAAUUUCAAGAUCGAACUGAACCUUGUCCUGCUUUAAAUAGCGGCUGGCCACCCUCAGCGAUGCCUAUGCAUUAAAAAUGUAGGGCGUACAUUCACAAAAAAACAUCAUCUUGCCAAGUCCUGGACUGUUCUAGGAUUGUUGCAAAUAUGGAAAGGUGGCUAUAAUUAUUUCACUUGCUGCGGGUUCAUUUUUAUUGCUUAUCUAAGGCCAGGAAUAAGGUGACUUAUGAAUUCUUCUGUGUGGGUGCCCGAUAUGCUCUAACUGUGUUGCUUCAUUUCAGGGAACAAUUGUCCCUGCUCUAAGAAAAUAGGAAAAAAAAUAAGCGGCCUCCAGAAUUGGCAUCACAGAGAAGGCCCUUUCAAGAGAACCAGACAGGAGAUAGUUGAAAAAGCAGUCGGCAGUUUGAGGUUUGGGAAAAGGUGUGGAGAGAGUAGAGAUGAAAAGGCAGCAGGAGAAUUAUGAGUCAACAAAAAACAGACUAAUUGGCCCACAGGCCGAGAGUGAAAUGGGACCGGGCACAGAGCCAUCCUUUUAUCAAGAUCAAAUAUUGACAUUUAAUGUUAUAAAAGACUGAUGCGUCUACAGAAAGUCUCAAUAAUAAGAUGCCGCGCGUCUCUCUAAAAUCUAAAUGCAAAAGGGAAGCCGGAUGGGCCAAUACAUUUUUUUGUCAAAGCGAUUUGCGAAGACCGCUGGGAAACGGAGCCCAUCCAAGUAACCACUUAACUCGAACCAGGCGGUUGUUUUUAUUGAAGUGUGACCGCGCUGGUACUCCGAUCGAUGGCUUGCCCGGCCCGUCGUGCGUGCUGAGUCGUCUUGCAUUUCAGCAAAACCGCGCCAAGGAAGCAAUCGGACAGGACCAAUCGCAAAGCCGUAGAGCAGGGGUA